GUGAGCCUGUGAGCCCUUCCGUGUCACUCGUUUUAUGACGCAACUUCCUGUAGUGUGGAAGAAGAGAAACUCCCCUUCCGGUUUUGUCGGUCCAUGCGUGGCAAUGCAAACACACGCGGAGAACCUGUCGAUCAAUCCUUGGCCAUCCACUCGAGCAGUGUGACAUCCGAGUGUAAUAUUCACUGACUGAUAUCCUGUGUGCAGUCAUUUCACUUGAUCAGCGGUCAGGUUUUUUGAUUGGGUGAUUCAAAUACCAUCUUAAUUCCUUGGAGCACCUUGUGUGGAGAGGACGACAUCGCCCUUCCAGCCCAGGUGAAUGAGAGGCUCCGCAGUCUCUCCAACUCCAACACUGAUUCCCCCCAUUCCCCAGAUCCAUCAAUCCGAUUCCCAGUGCAUACUGGGUGGCGAGCUACCUGAGAAUCUGGACACUGCGGUGCAGUGUUGACGUCCCCUCCCCCACGGUCUGUGCGGUAGGACAAUACUUAUACAGUGCACUGUUAGCUACAGAGAAACGGGCCCCAACGAACUAUUUAAACAAACUUUGGGAACUUUGAAAAAAGGGUUUCUAUUCUGCCGGCUUUUCUUAUUCUUGUUCAUUAUUUUUCAUAUACUGCAGUUGUUGUAAAUUUAUAUGUGCACUUUUCAAUACAUGUUUGGCCAUUCAACA